GGGCGCGUAGCUCAAUUGGGAGAGCACCGGCUUUGCAAGCCGGGGGUCGAGGGUUCGAAUCCCUUCGCGUCCA
rnacentral:tRNA from 1 species